CAAAGCCUCGACCUCCCGUACAGAUGCUGCCAGCUGCACGAUACCUGCUACGACAGCCUCCUGAGAUACCACUGCAACGCCAAGGUGCAGGGCUACCACUAUGGCUGGCACGGCAGCAGCCCCUUCUGCAAAGGCAGCUCGUGGUGCGCCCGCCUUUCCUGCGAGUGUGACCGCAGCCUGGCACUUUGCCUGAAGCGAAGCAUCGGGAGCUACAGCAAACGCUACCGCUUCUACCUCAAGCACUGGUGCUGGUGAUGGAAGCCGGGACACAGGGCUGGAGCACGCGCCUGGGUUCUGCGUCCGGAUCUCUCUACGUCCCUGCCUGCACGAACCACGUUAGUGCUGCUGUAAAUUUAAUCAAUGUGAAAAUAAACAAUGUGCUUGAGCCAUC